CAGUAGCCGCGGGAAUACGGAGGGCGCAAGCGUUAAUCGGAAUUACUGGGCGUAAAGCGCACGCAGGCGGUUUGUUAAGUCAGAUGUGAAAUCCCCGAGCUUAACUUGGGAACUGCAUUUGAAACUGGCAAGCUAGAGUCUUGUAGAGGGGGGUAGAAUUCCAGGUGUAGCGGUGAAAUGCGUAGAGAUCUGGAGGAAUACCGGUGGCGAAGGCGGCCCCCUGGACAAAGACUGACGCUCAGGUGCGAAAGCGUGGGGAGCAAACAGGAUUAGAUACCCCUGUAGUCCCUGUCUCUUAUAC
rnacentral:rRNA from 1 species